rnacentral:rRNA from 1 species
GAAAUGCGAUAAGUAAUGUGAAUUGCAGAAUUCAGUGAAUCAUCGAAUCUUUGAACGCACAUUGCGCCCGCCAGUAUUCUGGCGGGCAUGCCUGUCCGAGCGUCAUUUCAACCCUCGAACCCCUCC